AUAGUAUACAUGAACUUGAAUUCAAGAUACACAAUAAUAAAUAAUAGUAAUAAAUAACUUUUAUACCUUUUAUAUCUGUUCAAGAGAAUUUUUAUUUAUUUGUAUUAGGUUAAUAAUAAUAAGGGCUUGGAACUAUAUAGAAGAGUAAUGUAUAUGUAGCCUACAUGAAUUUAUUAAUAUAAUAAUACUGGUCCCAAUUUGCAAAAAGGCAUCAUAAUGCUCUCUUCACAUAAUCACUGAGGGCUAAGCCCCCAUAAGAAUGAAAUCCUAGAACAGUUUGCCCCAUCCCGCUAUCAGCUAUCGUGAAGUAAUUACCAACCAUUUCGUUCGAAAAAUUCUAAAACAACGAUGUUUUUAAUACUUUAAAAUAACAUUUGAUAAAUGAACCUUUCUCUUGGAGGUUUCUUAAACAAAAGGCUGCAUAGGAGGUCGCAUUUGUAAACUGCAUACGUCAUAAAGACUGUCUUGUUACAGAAUAUUAACAAUUAUAAAGUUUUACACUAUUAUAUUUAGUUAAUCGUAGCUGUAUUUAAAUUUAGUUAAUUGUUGUAAUAUGCUUAUGACUUGCGAAUGUAAUGAUUAAUUAACUGAAAUAAAGCAGGCUUGAUGACGUACUGUAUGCAUCCUGCAUAUGCGACCUGCGGAGGAUGCAGCUUUCUGUUUGAGUAAUAUCAGCAUAAAGGUUUCUGGCUAAAGCUUUCACGGUGCAAUGUGCAUGCAUUAUAUUCUGUCUUUUACUGCGUGUGCUGUUUUGUUUGGGUUUCCAAAUGUUCGUCUGACACGCGUUGUGAAUCAGGGUAUCUUCCGUCCAUUCCAUAUUCGUUUUAAAAUUAAAAACCAAAAAUGAAAAAACAAAUCGAAUUUUCAUUUAUCGUUUCCAUUUAUAAAAUGAAAAAAGAAAAAUAGAAAUUUAUACAUUUUUCUAGUUACCCAGCAAACAUUGGUCCGACGGCAACGUCGUGGCCCUGGCCAAAAAUAGUCGCGGUAUGAUCGGCAUAAAUCGGUGAAAAUAUGUAAAAAAAAAAAAAAACAUGUCAUAAAAAUGCAUUCAGAUACAUUUGUACAUGUCUAUAGUUCUAUGGGGUUACAUGUAUAAUUGUUACUUUGACUUUUAGCUACGUGUACUUCAAUAUAUACCCUGAUGUGAAUUGGAUGCAUGUCUUUUACAGGUGCAUUUAUAGUCCAUCAUGACAUAAAAAAUCCUCUGCAUGCAACCACGAGGAGAGGGGGAAUUUACUAAGGAGUUUUGUCUAUAUAUUAUAUAAAAUCUACUGUUGGGAAGAGCAGAACCUAAUCCAAAUAAAAAUAAACAAGCUGUUAAAAGCCAGUUGAAGGUGGUCAACACAAACCAAAUGAAGAUGUUGCACAUUCCACAAACAAUAAAAAAGAAGAUCAAGUUUUGUGUCCAACACACUUGGAUGAGACGUGCCCGACCCCUGACUUUGUCUACCCUACAUUAAGUUGUGAUGGCACACUUCAUGAGUAAACAUCGGUAUCAAGAUGAUGUGAUUGAUCUAUACCCUAGAAUAAGCUGUGACACUAUGAGACGGUGACAUAAUGAACAGCCAUCUUCCAGACAACCGAAACAGUAUUGUCUACAAUACCAAAUUCUGGAUUGACGCCCCAGUACCAGAAGGCACUCCAAUCCCAGAGAGCAUCCCAUUGUGAGGUAACACAACGAAAAAAUAACAGAAUGGAGACUACCUGAUUGUUCACCUAUGGCCUUAGCUUCAAAUGCAAGAAGUCCAGCAACUUUCUGAGCUGGUGGAUAUUCUAUCAGAGACUGCAUGAACAACGUUAUGAACAGAUGCUGUGAGGAGGUGGAGCCCAAAAGCCACGGACUCGGAAAUCGAUGCAGCUAUGGCAGACCACCUCAAGCACGCUCCAGGAAGAGAGCUAGGGGUUGUGAAUACAAAAAAUAAGCCAAACAGAUGUAAUGUGUUAGAGAUAGUUCACACAAAAAUGAAAAUUGUUAUAAUUUUCUUACCCACGUGUUUCAAACCUGUAUACAUUUCUAUUUUUUGCUGAACACAAAGAUUGAAUAAUGUUUGUAACCAAGCAUUUCUCACAACCCAUUAACUGUCAUAAUCAUUUUUUUUACAAUUGUAGUAAUGGGUUGUGAGAUCUGCUUUUUUAAAAACAUUCUUUCAAAUAUCUUUGUGUUCCGCAGAACAUAGAAAGGUAUACAGGUUUGAAACAUGAGAGGGAGUAAAUGACUAAAUAUUCAUUUUUGGGUGAACUAUCCCUUUAUAUAAUAAAGUAUUUUGAAAUUGUUAUUAUAGUUAAAAAAAUAAAAGUCUUAAAUCAGAACAUGCUUCUUUUUUGCUCAUGUCCACAAAUAAUGUGUUCUUUAAUGUGUUUAAUGCCUAAAGACCUACACCAAGCGACAAGUGCUAUGGUUGUUAGCUUAUAUACAUUCUGAA